UCUUGCUCUCUCCUAUAGGGCCACACUCCACUCUCACCAUGCUCUGCUACUUUCCCAUCAUGGUGAGAGUGGAGUGUGGCCCUAUAGGAGAGAGCAAGAGG